UAUCAAUAAGCGGAGGAAAAGAAACCAACAGGGAUUGCCUUAGUAACUGCGAGUGAAGCGGCAAAAGCUCAAAUUUGAAAUCUGACGUUUUUGACGUCCGAAUUGUAAUUUGGAGGGAUAUCUUCGGAGCCGGCGCCGUCCUAAGUUCUUUGGAACCAGACAUCACAGAGGGUGAGAAUCCCGUACCUGGAUGGCUGUCCUGCUCCAUGUGAAGUGUCUCCGACGAGUCGAGUUGUUUGGGAAUGCAGCUCAAAAUGGGUGGUAAAUUUCAUCUAAAGCUAAAUAUUGGCGAGAGACCGAUAGCGCACAAGUAGAGUGAUCGAAAGAUGAAAAGCACUUUGAAAAGAGAGUCAAAUAGUACGUGAAAUUGUUGAAAGGGAAGCGCUUGAGACUAGAUUCAGCCGGCGGUCAUCAGCCAUGUUUUUAUGUGGUGCACUUGCCGUCGGUUGAGCCAGCAUCGGUUCUGAUGGCGGGAUAAAGGUUCCAGGAAUGUGGCUCCGCCAUCUGGUGGAGUGUUAUAGCCUGAAGCGCAAUGCCGCCUGUCGGGACCGAGGACCGCGCUUAUGCUAGGAUGCUGGCUAAAAGGUCUUAAGCGGCCCGUCUUGAAACACGGACCAAGGAGUCUAACAUCUAUGCGAGUGUUCGGGUGGAAAACCCUUGCGCGUAAUGAAAGUGAACGGAGGUGGGAACCCUUUGGGGUGCACCAUCGACCGAUCCCGAUGUUUACGGAAGGAUUUGAGUAGGAGCAUAGCUGUUGGGACCCGAAAGAUGGUGAACUAUGCCUGAAUAGGGUGAAGCCAGAGGAAACCUUGGUGGAAGCUCGCAGCGGUUCUGACGUGCAAAUCGAUCGUC
rnacentral:rRNA from 1 species